GGGGCGUCAUCACCAUCCAUCCUUGGAGAAAAUGUCCCCUUUCCUUGGCCACGUGUGACUGCGUGCACGAGAGGCCGACCACGGGGUGAAGCCCCGUCCAAUGAUUAUGCAGGGCAGAGCUGAUGAUGACUUCCUAUCCGGAGUGGACGGCCGGAGCGGCGACUGGGCCGGUGCGGAACGACUGCAGCCCAGCCAGAGAGGUCACAGAGAGAGUCCGCGGCAGAGAGACUCGCACCGGACUCUGCCGCACCGGCCCCGCCACUCAUUCAGCACCCUCUUCCGUUCUUCAACCGUCUCACAUGGCUUGGAUCGGCGCAACGCCUCUCCUCGGCCGUGCAAUACUCUCGGGGGCGCUACUCCUCCACACAUGCCUGGCACCCGCUUAUGGUGUGUCACCCCACGUCCCCUCACACCACCGGUCAUAAUGGGCGCAGGGCCUGGAAGACGCGCGUCAAGACGCAACGAGACGCCACAGCGACAUUGUGAUUUCAAAGUCACUGACGAGCCCGUGGGAAGUUCGCGCAGGCAAUCCUGGUGGAGCGCGUUGGGGGACGGGCAUGGCACGGGAAAAACUUUGGAGUGGAUCAAAGUGAGGUGAGGACCCACGUGAACUUCAGCCUCACUCCUGAGCCACUUCUGGGGUCACCAUCCCGACAGGAUGGCCUGAAAGAUGGAACAAAAAGAGGCAUCCAUUUUGAUUCCCGAAGGAGAACGUUCAACUCCCGAAGGACUCGUGUGCACUCCACCCCCCACCAACAAACACACACACACACACACACUUGAAGCCACUCGGGUGUGCAUCAGGAAUAUGAAUCCAAGUGUGAUCAACACAACGUGAAGGACUAUAUUCGCAAUUAUGUUGUCAGAAAUCACAUGAGGUAAUUAUUUGUUUCCUUUUAUGAAAAUACAUAUCAGAUGACUUCUGCAAGCUGCUUUUACAUUAACAUAUAUACUGUUUAAAAACAACCAAAACAUUUCCACUUUGACGAAAUUAUUUGGAUUUGCACUCACUCUAAAAAUACAGCCCACCCCCACCAGUGACAUGUUUCACGUUUAAUGCCGUUCGAUUUCUGCUCAGAGUGUUUGCGCAGUUUUCAUGGUUUAUAUAUUAAAUGCCGAAACGUGGCAAUAAAUUAAUUUAAGCAUAAAAGUCCUGAUUAAUUUCUUUAAGGUCCUAAUAAUUAAUAAAGACACAUUCACGGGCACGUGUCGGUGCGCUUUAUGUUAUGUCAAAACACAUCUAGGGGGACUUUGUGCGUGUCUUUGCUGCGCCUCCUAGUGCGGCACAAAAUGAGACUCGGAAGACAAUAACCGGCUGUCUGAGCUGCUUUGCACAUCCACCAAUAAAGCGCAAGUAUAUUCCUCCCAGAUUUACAUCUCCUACACAACAAAUGAUGGCCGUUAAACGCCUUUAGGUUGACUCCAAGUGCAAUGCACUUCUAUCAUGUUCAUGUCUAUUUUAAUAUCGCGAAAUUGCCCAUCAGCCGCUUCCACGUAUACGCAACUAAGUGUUUUGUUUUGUGCUAAGACGCAUCGGUGCCGAGGAAAUUGUCGCUUGCAAAUCAAACCUUUAUUUUUCGCGUGCAAGACAAAUGCGCGUGUGCAGCGACAGGCCGAGUGACUCGAACUUAAGCGGCGAAACCAGAGUUCACCUUUCACCUUCUGCCCCGCGCUCAACCUCAAGACAACGAUGACCCGGUCACCGUGCAAAAUGCACGAGACUAUUUAUCUCGACUGGGCUGAGCUCAAAGCCGGAGCUGGUUUUCUUUUGUGUUGUUUUUGCUCUCUGCACGAGUCACCUUUGUAACGUGGACCAAAGUGGCCGGAGGCUGGACCCACUUGGAAUUCUGUAUAACAACGCUGACAAAUGAAACUUGUGUAUGAAUGUUUGAUAACAUUUAAAAUCAGCAAAAACAGCAAUAUAAAAAACACACAUUGAGAGCAUCUCUUGCUUUUAUUUUAGCUAUUUCAUGUGCACUCCCUGCACGAGCACUUGAAAAGAGGACAGCUGAAACAAAUUUAGUAUAAAAUAGGUCAUCAUUUAUUUGGCCAUGAUGUGGUACAUCAAGUCUUUCAAUAAUACUUUGUGAACUUAUUUAUUGCCCAUCAUUGAAAUGUGUGAUGAACAAGAACAAGGAUGAUGUGAUUAAAUGAGUCCAAACUC